rnacentral:tRNA from 1 species
GGAGCAUGGAUCACCCUGCUUUGCAAGCAGGGGGUUAGGGGUUCGAGUCCCCUAGGCUCCA